rnacentral:lncRNA from 13 species
CUGUCUCUCAAGAGGGCUGAGAUCCCUCUGGAGCCCGUGCUGUGUAAGAAGCCGAGCAUGUCCGUCCACCUGCGCUGCAGUAAGGAGAUGCUCACCGUUGUGUCCAUGCUGCCUGUGUAGAACGUCUUCUCCAGGCCCAAGGACAAGCAGGCCCUGGCUGACCAGAAGAAGGCCACGUUCCACCAAGCCGAGGGAUCCCACCUUACCCUGCUGAAUGUCUAUAGCUCCUGGAUGGAAGAACAAGUACACCAACCCUUGGUGCUUCGAGAACUUUAUCCAAACUCGCUCCUUGCGC